rnacentral:rRNA from 1 species
CCUACGGGAGGCAGCAGUGGGGAAUAUUGCACAAUGGGGGAAACCCUGAUGCAGCGACGCCGCGUGAGUGAAGAAGUAUUUCGGUACGUACAGCUCUAUCAGCAGGGAAGAAAAUGACGGUACCUGACUAAGAAGCCCCGGCUAACUACGUGCCAGCAGCCGCGGUAAUACGUAGGGGGCAAGCGUUAUCCGGAUUUACUGGGUGUAAAGGGAGCGUAGACGGCAGCGCAAGUCUGGAGUGAAAUCCCAUGGCUUAACCAUGGAACUGCUUUGGAAACUGUGCAGCUAGAGUGCAGGAGAGGUAAGCGGAAUUCCUAGUGUAGCGGUGAAAUGCGUAGAUAUUAGGAGGAACACCAGUGGCGAAGGCGGCUUACUGGACUGUAACUGACGUUGAGGCUCGAAAGCGUGGGGAGCAAACAGGAUUAGAUACCCCAGUAGUC